rnacentral:lncRNA from 1 species
UACAAUAAGACGAUAUGGUUCUGUUGGCUGUUAGUCGAAGGGGGCGUAUAGUGGUAAUUUUAUUUUUAAUGAAUUCACCAUGUUCUUCCAUAUUGCAUUUAUUACAACUGGAAGUUUCCUAUGGCAAUUUGAAGAUAUGUGAAAAUGUGUGUUUAUCUUUAUCUGCCGACAAGUGCCCCUAGGCUGUCGACAUUUUUCAUCACUUGACAACCGACGAAGAUGCACACAGUAAAUGCGAUAAAAACGAUGAACAACUUCAUGUGUCGGGGCCUUCACAAUUUUCUAAAUAUACACGAACACUAUUUUGUUCCCCUUUUAUUUUUGUUUCUUAUCAACAAAUCCCCUUCGACUACACUCUUUUACUCCAAGGAGUUGCACAUGUUUCCCUAGCGGAUUUCCCUGUAAGAACAAAAAAAAAAAUGUACUAUGUUUUAAAUGUCGUUCACUUUUGUGUGCAACUACUAUAGUAAAUUGUUUAAACGUCGGCGAACGAAGUGGAAUGGUAAUUGAUUAGUAACAACGGGCGAAUCGGAGUGCGUUCAGCCAUGCGGUUGAGAGUGCUAGCAGACGUUAUUAUUAUUCAGUGGAUUCUAAAGAGCAACUUGUUGUCAAGUAGUAGAAAAGAAAGAUGAAAGCUCUUACGUAUUUCACGAACCCUCGCACGUAAUAAGCAGCUACCCAGAAUUGAAGCAAGUGGUAAUACCGAGAAGAUUAAAUUCAGAUUAAAAAAUUUUAACACGUUUGGCAGUGCUGCUUUCCACGCACACACACCAGGUUGAGCAAAGGCAUAACCAGUUGGUGAACCAAGUAAGUAACCUUUGAAAAUAUACCGUGUAUGGGCAACUUGAAUGUUAUGAUGAUCAAGUUCACCCAAUAGCCCAUAAGAAAAGGAAUAAAGUUCACAUUUCAAACAGUCGACGUCUAUACAACUAAACCUCAUAGGGGGGGAAAAUGGCUGCUCCAGUGCACAUACAUGCCAGUGCCAUAGUAUUGGCCAGCAUUUGAUCCCGGCCGAGGAAAAAAAUGGGGCGAGGCGGUGGUGGUUGGUGAUAACUGAUAAGAGAUCCUUUUUUCCGACAUUUUCAAGAACAUACAUUUUCUAUUUAUUUUUUUUUAUUAUUAUUUUUUUUAGAUAUGCUGAAAAGAUCAGACGACGUUGCCAGCCAACGCAUAGAAUCUUUCAACUCUCUCUUUUCGAAAAAAAACAAAACUCUCGAACACGACAGACAUGUAUAUUUUUCAAGAGAUCGAAAGAAGUAAAGAAAUGAGUCUCUAUUCCAAGUGUGUUGGGGCGAGGCUUAGGCAAAUGAGCCGAAAGAAACAGCUGGCUCCCCCCGUCCCUGUUUUGUCCAUACAGCUAUAAAGCCUAUACAGCAAACCAUCCCGAGCAAAAAAAAAAAAAAGUUUACGGGACUAAAAGAGAGGAAAAAGGAAAAGUUACGUGCCUCGAUAUCGUUCAUCGUCAUGCACGAUGACGUCAUAUAGGGAAGGGGGGAUUCUCUGGUGUUCCAUGUGUGAAAGGGGUGGAAGUGCAGUCGCUGAUUUAUAGCUCCAGAUCUUGAUAUAUUUGACUGGGGAACCGGUGAUACACAUAAAAAUACAUAAUAAACCCAUUACGUACAUGCAAUUCCCGAAAUGAUGCGUACAUUUACAGAAAUGACACGCCUCUUUCAAGAAAAAAAAUGUCAAUACAAUUCUCCCAGCUUGUCCUACACAGUCUGUGUGGGUGGAAAUCAUCAAGUGUUUACAUUUUUCGGUCUGAAACGACCAUUGAACUUUUGUUCACUGGAUGUGGGUAGAAAAGGAAAAGAAAAAAAAAAAUCUCUUAUUUCUUUUCAAUAUCGAAGCAUUGAAAUCCAUAUAACCAGCAACCCUUCACAGAAGAAAAAAAAAUUAAAAACGAUUUUUUUUUUUCAUUGCUGACGGAUCGAUGCAUGAAUGCGGCCAUUGUUGUUGCCGUCUGAACUAUGGCGAAGGCACAUAAUCUCAAAGAACUAUCAUCGUCUGAACGUAAAAGCCUCUUGUUGAUAGAAAAAGGAUGCAGAAGCUGAAAAGCAGAGCGAGAAAACGUCGAUACGAAGUCCAGCAUCCAGCAACAUCGUGAAACUAUAAAGGGUGGGGCUAAGCAGCACGCAGCAUGUGGUUUCAAUUAGCCACUCUUCUCAUUCCAUCUAAUCCUCAGCACACACACACACACACCGGCCCCCUAUAUACUCGUCUCCUCUUUGCAUUGAAACCGUUCUUUUGUUCCCAUUUAUAACAAUCGUCAUUAUACAUUACUGUGUGUGUACUUCUCUUAAGUCACCUAAAGUAAGUAUAGGGGCAUUUAGUGCCACAUCAGAAAAUAGAUGAUGAUGUCAAUGUAAAGGGCAUUCAAUACGCGCAGAACAAAAGAUACGAGUUAAACGGAUCGGAAAUGAAAGUCUGUCCAGUUAUGAUUACACAUGUACACCAUUGUCCGUUAACCCCUCCUUUUUUGUCACGAACGUAGGCUACGUUAUACUGAGCUACGACCUUUUUGCUUUUCAGCAUACGGGAAAUGAACGUGUCGACCGAGCGUCUGCAGUCCCCGGAUCUAUCACCGACAUACAGGCAUCCAUUGUGAUCUAUACGUACAUCGGAAUAUAAGAUUUUUUUUUUCCUCUUUUUUUGGUUGAACAGGAGACGUAGCAAACAAGACAAGAAUCUCUGUGAGGAUGCUUCCGCUUGGAUUGGUUGUUGGUUUAAAAAAAAAAAAAAAAGAGGGGCUCCUAGAGAUGUGACAUUAUCAUCGGGGAAAAAAGCGUACACAAAAUGUGUCUCUUUGCAUCAAUUCAAAAACGUAUGUAGUCCAUUUCUUUUUGUGCGUGAUGCUGUGGGGGCCUUUUCAGUUGUUUGGAGCUUUAUUCCGCACAUCCUUUUUUUCUUUGAAAAUGGACUUGCAUAAUAAGACACCCCGACGAAUAUGCCUUGUGUCGAACAUAAAAUAAAAAAUCUGUAGAAAAAAGGAAAAAAAAAAAAAUGUUUUCCAUUAAAAUGAAAAAAAAAAAAAAAAUUUAUAUCAAUGAGUGUGGAAAUCCUUUCGUUUUGCUGGCGGCGUCGAGAAUCCAAUUAUACUCCUGACUGGGUUCGCUUCGUGCUUCUUGUGUAAUAAUAACAGCAGCCUCAAAUUUAAAUAUCCCCCUUUUUCUUUUCUUCUUCUUUUAAAACUUUGUUCCUGGACGCUGGAUGAUUUCAAAUCGAUAAAGAACAGCAUUUAAUCUUUUCUUCUUCUUCUUUUUUUUUUUAUUCUUAACAAAAACAAAACAUUUUUCUUUUCUCGAAUAGAUUAUGCGACUAUUUAAAUGGAGCCAGACAGCCAAGAGAAUCGAGCUGCGGCACCGCUUCGAUUGAAUAACUUCCCUGCCCGCUAUAUAUGUAUACGACACGUGCAACGCCCUACCCAAAUUCAAUAUAUUUUCCCCUGCCAUUGAAGAUUGACAUCUUUACGGCGUCAACCUCUGUACGUGUACACAAUCCAACAUUUUUUUUUCUUUCUAAAAAAAUAAAAAACAAAACAAAAUAAAUAAAUAAA